GACGAACGCUGGCGGCGUGCUUAACACAUGCAAGUCGAACGAUGAAGCUAGAGCUUGCUCUGGUGGAAUAGUGGCGAACGGGUGAGUAACACGUGAGUAACCUGCCCCGAACUCUGGGAUAACUGCUGGAAACGGUAGCUAAUACUGGAUACGACCAACGAAGGCAUCUUCUGUUGGUGGAAAGAAUUUCGGUUCGGGAUGGACUCGCGGCCUAUCAGCUUGUUGGUGCGGUAACGGCUCACCACGGUGACGACGGGUAGCAGGCCUGAGAGGGUGAUCGGCCACACUGGGACUGAGGCACGGCCCCGACUCCUACGGAAGGCAGCAGUGGGGAAUAUUGCUCAGUGGGCGCAAGGCGGAUGCUGCAGAGCGGCGUGAGGGAUGACGGCCUUCGGGUUGUAGACCUCUUUUAAUAGAGAAGAAGCGAAAGUGACGGUACCUGCAGAAAAAGCACCGGCUAACUACGUGCCAGCCGCCGCGGUAA
rnacentral:rRNA from 1 species